CACUAAAGACCACACGCUCCAUUGAACAUUUAUGGCUGCAAAUGGCUCCUCCGUGCAGGUGAGGACAUGGAAGCACAGGGAGGUUAUGCCACUCGCCCAAAGACAACUAAUCAGUGACAGCUGAGACUUGGACUGCAGAACCUACACUUUAUAACUAUUUUACAGUUCUGGGCGUCACGGAAUCUUGCAUGAAGAGCCCCUAACCUGGCCCGGGUGGAGGCUCUGCUUCCUCAGUGUCAGCAUCAUUCACAGCAGGCAUGUCCCUCCUGCCUCCAAGAGAGUCACCAGCAGCUUCCUCCUCCACAUCUGUUCUCUCUCUCUCUCUGGCCAUUCACUGUGGGGGAAGUCAGUUCCAUGCCCUGAGUCCAUUCAGGCAGCUUGUGAAGAGGCCCACAUGGCCAAUAGCCAGUGAGGAACUGAGGCCUGCAGUGACCACUUGGAUGAGCUUGGAAGCACGUCCUCCAGCCCCAGUCAAGUCUUGAGGUGAGACCACAGUCCUGGCCAACAGGUGACUACAACAUCACGGGAAACCCAAAGCCAUUCAGCUAAGCCACUCUCAGAUUGCUGAUCCCCAGAAGCUGCAUGAGAUAAUAAAUGUUUGUUGUUUUAA
rnacentral:lncRNA from 1 species